UGUGUGUGGGGGGGAGGGUGUGCACCAGAGCGCAGUUGCCUGGUGAGGCCAGAAGAGAGCAUCAGAUUACUGGAGCUGGAGUUUCAGGUAGGUGUGAGCCACCUGUUUGCCAGUGUUGGGAACUGAACUCUGGUCCUCUGCAUGAGUAGUAAGUGUUACUAACUGUUCAAGCAUUUCUCCGGAUCCUCCAGAAAUGUUAUUUAAGGGGAGAAAGAUCCAUUUUGUGUGUGGGCAGCACCAUCUAGUUUCGAAGGGUCUUGAAUGGAAUAAAAGGAAGAAGGAGGCUUACUAAUGCAGACUUGUCUCAGCUCCUGGCUUCCAUGAUGAAGUCUUGUGUCUACCAUGCCCUCUCUACCAGCUAACGGGCCUAAAACACAGGCCAAAAGAAAAUCUCAAGUUGUUUCCCUCAAGUCGUCUGUCAUGACCCAAUGGGGGCUCAGGGCAACCCAUGCUGGCCUUAAGCAGUCUGCAUUGACUUCUGAGUGCGGAUUGGAGCAUGCACCGUCCUGUCUGUUAGCUGCUAUUUUUAAGCUAGGUGGAUGAAGAUUUUCGUAUUCCUUUUUAGAAGACAGAUUUAAAUAAAAAUAACUCCCAAUGUUCGCACAUUUAUAUUUGCUUUUUUGAAAAAUAGCUCUGUUUUUAAUAAAAGAAACUAUUACUCUUAUUUGGGCAUUUGUUACGAGUAAGACUAUUAUGAUUAGUGUAACAGCUCUGUUAUGCCUGGAGUGGCCAGAGGGACAGUGCAGGGACACCUGGGUAGUAUCAUGAAAUGGGGACUAAAAGGAAUUUAAUACGCCAAAAUGUCCCCUUGAUAGCUUGCAGUUUUAUUUUAUUGUUCUCCCAGCUUCAGCUGGGAGCCUGACACAGCCAGAGACACCUGAGGAAGUCUCAGUUGGGUUUUGCCUCAAUCAGAUUGGCCUGUGAACAAGCCUGUGGGGCAUUUUCAUGAUCGCCAGCUGCUGUGGGAGGGUCCGGGCCACUGUGGGUGGUACCAGUCCUGGGGAGGAACCAACUGAGCCGGAGUGCUAGCAAGCCCGGAAGCAGCAUAACAUAGUUCCUGCCUCAGUGAUGGACUGCAGCCUGGAAGCGGGAGUCAGACAAAACCGUUCCUCCUCAAGUUGCUUUUGGUCGUGGUGUUUAGUACACAACAGAAAACAAAGUAGACAAAGUAAACAAAGUUAUCAUGGUAAAGAAGAGAAGGGAGACAAUCUAAAUUUGAUCGGCCCUAGAUAAUAUUUAACAAACAGUCUUGUUUCGAUUCAGAAACCAAAAUCCUGAUUUCUAUAUUGGAGAGAGCAGAUGGGCCUGGGAGAUAACGCAGUCAUGAGUGCUGUGGAAGCUUAGCCUGACCAAGUUCAACGUCGGAAUUUGUGUAAAAAGACAAAUGUGCAAUCCUGGUAUUUCUACAGUAAGGAUGGAGGCAGGCAGGAGAAUUGCCUGGAAGCCCGUGAACCAGUUAUCCUGGAGCAUGGAUGUGACCCAAGUUAGAUCCCCAGAACCCAAUCAAGGCAGGAGGAGGGAUCUGACUCCUAAAAUUAUCCUCUGACCUCCAUAUGCUUCUCUCUUUUUCUCCCCCCUCCCUCUCCCUGACAAUAUUUGAAUAAAUAAAUGUAGAAGUAAUAACUGCCCUGACUUUUGCAUUUUUCUUACUAUAAUUUUUCCCAACCAACCAAUUCAUACAGAAAAAUAUAAAUAUAUGUUGUAUUAAUUCUGAACAGGACCCAUGCAUACCUCUUAAGAAGAAAGAGGAGAAGUGGGGCUGGGGAAGGGAAGUGAGGAAUGGUAUGUUUGUUGGCCGUGACCUGCUGUUUUUAGAUUGGCAAGUUGUCCCUGUUUGGCUGCCUUUGCCCAUCUCAUUUGGCAACUCCUGAGCCCGCAUCUUUCAGAAGGUGUAAGAAGCUUGCAAGGUGGGAAGGAUUUCUUUGGCUUUUCCAGGCAUCGUUGCUGAGAAAGCAUCACUACAGACUUUUGGAAGGGCACGGACUGUAAGUAAAACCAUGGGCGUUUGAAUUAGUGCAGUGGAUACAUGUAGCUUGAAAGAUAUGCUGUAUUUCUACCUUUCUGCCUUCAUAGGGAAUGACGAAUCUAUCAACCUUCUGCUUAACUUGGUUUUAUCCGUUAUCAAGAGAAAUUAAUUUAGAGGCAGAUGCAGAUUCCUUACAUCUACAGAUUCAAACAUUUGUGCACUCCUAUGGUCAUUAUGAUCAAAUAAUAGAGAGAAAGGGAAACAGCAUGGGUGCCAUGGGAAGAAUGCCUGGAGAGAGCCAAGUCCAGGAUUAAUGUAUUAAGAUGAAUUCAAGGCUAAAGAAAUAGGAGGUAAAUAGAGAAAUCUAAUAUCCCAUCGAUGUGGGUAAAGGAUGCUAUUAUACCACUGUCUAAUUUUAUUUGUAGUUUAUAAAAAGUGCUUUGAAACCUUUCUGUUACAGACUAAAAAUCUCAUUGUCAGCUUUAUGCACUGUCAAUGGUGCUGUUUGCCUGUGCUGUCUUAUUUCACUAUUUCCUAUGCUAAGUUUUUAUUAUUGAUCAAUGGUCAUGUUCUCAUGGCUGAAGAAUUUUAUUACAUAAGUUAAGAAAUGUUUAAUGCUUAAUAUUUUUAUUAUGGUUGACGAUAUCUGGUAUUUUAAUAGGCACACAAGUUCGUUCGUUUAAAGUCAGCCCUGUCUUAAGCUGCACAAUCAUUUUAAAGAAUUGUGUAUUUAAGAAGAAAGUGACUUUUUCAUGGCUCUCUCCAAAGUGGUAAUUUUCUUCUUCCUCCUUGAGGACUUGAGAAAGGCUCACUAUAAGCUUAGUCAUGAGUGGAGUAAAACCGUUAGGUGCAAACCAUUAUUGAUUUAUUUAAAUUUGUUGUCUGGAAGUCACUAAUAUAUAAAGGAAUAGGAGCUUAGAAUGACGUCAAAG